ACCUAUAGGGUACUUCCCGUUGACCUAGAAUCAUGACAUUUGGCAGCAGCAAUGUCUUUUAGCACAAGUAAAGG